GAUGAACGCUGGCGGCGUGCCUAAUACAUGCAAGUCGAGCGAACAGAUGAGGAGCUUGCUCCUCUGACGUUAGCGGCGGACGGGUGAGUAACACGUGGAUAACCUACCUAUAAGACUGGGAUAACUUCGGGAAACCGGAGCUAAUACCGGAUAAUAUAUUGAACCGCAUGGUUCAAUAGUGAAAGACGGUUUUGCUGUCACUUAUAGAUGGAUCCGCGCCGCAUUAGCUGGUUGGUAAGGUAACGGCUUACCAAGGCAACGAUGCGUAGCCGACCUGAGAGGGUGAUCGGCCACACUGGAACGGAGACACGGUCAAGACUACUACGGGAGGCAGCAGUAGGGAAUCGUCCGCAAUGGGCGAAAGCAUGACGGAGCAACGCCGCGUGAGUGAUGAAGGUCUUCGGAUCGUAAAACUCUGUUAUUAGGGAAGAACAAAUGUGUAAGUAACUAUGCACGUCUUGACGGUACCUAAUCAGAAAGCCACGGCUAACUACGUG
rnacentral:rRNA from 1 species